GCAGCCGCAGCGAGGCCUCUCUCGUCUCCAAUAGCUCCGGCGAGUCGCGCGAAGCGGCAGGCUUCGAGUAGCCGCCGCCUCCUCCGUUCCCCUCUCCUCUCCCCUUUCCGACUAACGAAUUCGGCUCAGCCGCACCCCUCUCUCACUCCCGACCUAUCCCAGACCGGCGCUGCAACAACAGGUCGCGCCACCAUCCCGACCGAUGCGCCGCCUCGAUCAGCAGCAAUAACAGCAGGUCACAGCAGCAGCGCAUAGGCGGCAAUAGCUGCAAACUCCGACAGCAGCUACAAACAGAGGGAGUAUACAUCAAAACUCACUGCGGCAGUGACGGAUUAAGAGGUGUUGAAAGGGUUGAUUUUGCGGGCUAGGCGACUGAGGAAGCUCAACAUCAAAAAAGUUGAUACAAGCUUCUUUCAUCAAAGUAGGAGAUAAGA